rnacentral:rRNA from 1 species
GCCAGACUCCUACGGGAGGCAGCAGUGGGGGAUAUUGCACUAUGGGGGGAACCCUGAUGCAGCGACGCCGCGUGGGUGAAGGAGCGUUUCGGCGCGUAAAGCCCUCUCGGCAGGGAAGAAGGAGGACGGUACCUGACUAAGAAGCCCCGGCUAACUACGUGCCAGCAGCCGCGGUAAUACGUAGGGGGCAAGCGUUAUCCGGAUUUACUGGGUGUAAAGGGGGCGCAGACGGCAGCGCAAGCCAGGAGUGAAAGCCCGGGGCCCAACCCCGGGACUGCUCUUGGAACUGCGCGGCUGGAGUGCAGGAGGGGCAGGCGGAAUUCCUGGUGUAGCGGUGAAAUGCGUAGAUAUCAGGAGGAACACCGGUGGCGAAGGCGGCCUGCUGGACGGCGACUGACGUUGAGGCCCGAAAGCGUGGGGAGCAAACAGGAUUAGAUACCCCCGUACGA